rnacentral:rRNA from 1 species
UACAGAGGUCUCAAGCGUUGUUCGGAUUCAUUGGGCGUAAAGAGUGCGUAGGUGGCGAGGUAAGUCAGGUGUGAAAUCUCGGGGCUCAACCCCGAAACUGCACUUGAUACUGCCUUGCUCGAGUACUGGAGAGGAGAUUGGAAUUUACGGUGUAGCAGUGAAAUGCGUAGAUAUCGUAAGGAAGACCAGUGGCGAAGGCGAAUCUCUGGACAGUUACUGACACUGAGGCACGAAGGCCAGGGGAGCAAACGGG